GUUUCAAGCGUGGUAGUUGCUGUCGCGGCUGGUGCUACGUUCAAUAAACGAAUCGCAUUCGUUCGUGCGUACGUCUGUCGCAGUCGUGGUCGUCGUCGUCGCCAUAUCGUGUUAUCAUAUCGUAUAUAUACAUAUACAUAUAUACGUAUAGUCGCCUAUACAGAUAACGAUUAACAGCCAAGAUCCUUAGCAGCAACCAGUUGAACAGAGUGCGCUUCAGUUCAUCGCGAUCCGUUUUCGCUGUGUGUCUCUCCUGUUCCUGUUUACCGUUACGUAUAAGGAGCAAACAACGUUCGCUCGGCCCUAAAACAACAAUUGAGAAGUAAAGCAAAUUUGAAAUCCUGAAUCUUUAUGACAACAAAGCGAGCAAAUUAAGAGAGAAAGAGAGAGAGAGAGAGAGAGAGAGAGCGUGCGGCCUUUUUAUGUGUUGCCAUUAAAUUGAAUGCAGCUAAUGGACGCUGCAGCUGUGCUGCUCCAAAAAGAAAACGAAUAUUGCGUGGGAGUGUUAGUGUGCGGCUGUGURUGUGUGCGUGCGUGCAAAAGUGUGAAUUAUUAAAUUAGCGCGAUUGCCAGAGCAGGACACAGCACAGAGCGCGGAAAAGAGGAGAACUCCAAAGGAAAACAAAAACGAAACGGGACCGAAUUCGAGUACGAAAACGCAUACGAAAACGAAAACGGGAUACAGCGGAUUACAACAAGGAUUAAAUAACAAAUGGCGCAUGGCUAUGGCAGAGACCAAAUGCAAAUCAAAUCAAACUGAAACAACACGAAAAACCACAUUUAUAGAGCGAAAAACAAACUGUGGCUAGUGUGCGAAAGAGACAAGAAUAGAGAGAGAGCCACAGAGACGGUGUGUGAGAGAGAGAGAGAGAGAUGCAUACAAAUGCAAUACAAUGAACAAUAUACAAAUAUCAAAUGCGAACUCGGAAAAGCUCCCCGGCGAAAUGAAAUACUUAUGAAAA